CUUUCUUCCCUCUCGUCUCAUGUGUUUGGCUUGUGCGUUUUUUAUCCUGCAUUUGGCUUUUGGGUAUGGUCGAAAGUGUCUUCGAUGGAAGCAUGGUGGCGGGGCUUGUGCAGCAAGGUGAGGCUGCGAUGGUGGUUCUCCCUUGACGUUGGUAGGGAGAAGAAAUGGAGAGGGAAAGAAGUCGGGGAGCUUGGUCGUGAAGGUACAACCAUGAGGCUUUGUUGGACUUCACCUAUAGGUGGAUGUCGGAGAUGGGGAUCGAGGUUGGGGUCGUAGAUCUAGGCGUCAGAGAUGGGGAUCACGCCUUGGAUUUAACUUUCUUGGUUUUUUUUGGUGAGUUAAUUUUGGGUUUGCUUGAAUCUAGGAUUUCGUGAAUCUAAGUUGGAUAUUUGAUUGAAACUAAGCUUUGGUAUUUGCUUGAAAUUUAUGGGUUUUUUUUUUCAAUUAUGUAAAAAAAAUUCUAGUAAAUGUUGUAUAAGUUGAAUUUAUGUGAAUUUGAGUUGAUACAUUUUUCUUGGGAUA